UGGACAGAUUAUUGUAUUCGACUGUAUUCACGGUGUGAAACAGGGGAUUACAAAUAUUUUUAAAUGAAAAGUGAAUUAAUUAACAUAAUAGACUCCU
rnacentral:pre_miRNA from 1 species